AAUUCUUUUCCCAUUUUUCUCAUCA
rnacentral:snRNA from 1 species